rfam:Ovis aries breed Texel chromosome 1, whole genome shotgun sequence.
UCCCUGAUAGCUAAGUUGGUAAAGAGUCUGCCUGCAAUGCUGGAGACCUGGGUUCAAUCCCUGGGUUGGGAA